ensembl:snRNA U4 U4 spliceosomal RNA
AUGCUUUCGCAGAGGCAAUUUCAUAGUCUGUGAAGUCUUACUGAGACGUGAUUAUUGCUGGUUGAAAACUUCACCCAGACUUCCGGUUCCGCUAGCUAGAGCAUGGCUGCGUGAGGAAUUUGAGCUCGACGGAUUUUUAGAUAAAUAACCCCCAACAACACUUUUUGGCAAAGACUGGUGAUU